UGGGGAAUAUUGGGCAAUGGGCGAAAGCCUGACCCAGCAACGCCGCGUGAAGGAAGAAGGUCUUCGGAUCGUAAAACUCUGUCCUUGGUGAAGAAAAGGACGGUAGCCAAGGAGGAAGCCCCGGCUAACUACGUGCCAGCAGCCGCGGUAAUACGUAGGGGGCGAGCGUUGUCCGGAAUGACUGGGCGUAAAGGGCGCGUAGACGGCUUUUUAAGUCUGGAGUGAAAGUCCUGCUUUCAAGGUGGGAAUUGCUUUGGAGACUGGAAGGCUUGAGUGCGGAAGAGGUAAGUGGAAUUCCCAGUGUAGCGGUGAAAUGCGUAGAGAUUGGGAAGAACACCAGUGGCGAAGGCGACUUACUGGGCCGUAACUGACGUUGAUGCGCGAAAGCGUGGGGAGCGAACAGG
rnacentral:rRNA from 2 species